UUUCAUCGCUGCCGUCCCCGCAGUCAUUGUCACCGUCACACACGAAGAUGAUGGAGAUGCACGACUUGUUACUGCACUGGAACUCGUUGGGAGAACAAGCUUGGGAAUAAAAACAAACAGCAGAUUUUUCUAUCCUUACCCCAUAACUUGAAAUCAUCUAUCAACCCUACUGGAUCAGUACACAGAUAUAUAACUUAACACUGUCUUCAGAGGAGCUGUUAUAUGGAACUGCAUAUGGAACAUUCCUCCAUAAAGUGGAGAUUCAAGAUCUUCUGUCAAAUGCCAGUCUUUAAAGCAUGGAUUCGUGCCUGGAAGGACAAGUUUCCCAUGGAAAGCUGCCCUCCAGGAAGGACAGCAAAAGAGAUGGAGGUAAAUGAAGAUGACCUUGAAGCUCAUCGCUCUGAAGAAAUGACAGGCCUCCCAUGGAGGGAAUAAUGCAGCGGAAUUGCAGCCUCACUCCCACCAGUGGUUGUUGCUAUGGUGAUUGAUACCGAAAAGCCCAUCUAGAUGGAGGCUGCAGAAGGAAUAGUAAUUCCUGAUAUUGUUCAAAUCACUAAUGGAGCUAAGGAGCCAUCUCACGCACUCCUGCAAAUUAAUAUUUGCAUGUGCUGGCUGCCUUUGUCACACGCUGCCCUCAAACACAAAUCAGUCAUUUUCCCAUUCUCUGCAGCAGUAUUUGCAUAGUAUUAGUUAAUUAUAACCCAGCAACCAGAUGCCAAAGCCCCUGCUGACAAAUAAUAGUUGUUUCAAAAAUGUAUUUGGUGAUUUAGAAUGUAUUCCCUGAGAUUCAUAUAUUCAUUCCAAGUGGCUUCAUUAUCUGGAAACAGAAUUAAUUAUGACCCCCAGUUUACAGAGAGAAGCAGUUUAUGCACAAAGGUAUGCACACUCUGUACUGUCUGUCUUUAUGUAUGUGCAAUAAGGUUGCAACUUAUACCUGUGGUUUCAAUUUCCCUUCAAACCAGGAAAGGGUUAGGAAGUUUAUCAGAUGUUCUUCUGGCUAAAUGACUGAAAAUUACCUCAAAAUAAGAACAAGAGAAUCCAGUGUAAAGGAUUUAAAGGUAAAAUAAAGCAGCUUGAAAUACAAAAAUGGAUGGUCAGAAUACCAAAGGUUAAUACUGUCCUGCUUUUGUGACAAUCCUAGACACCCCACAGGGAUCUCAUGAGGAUAAAGAAAUUAUUAUUGUUCUUUCAUAUUCUGACUAUAAUCAGAAUAUGAAUAUAUUAUUAUAUUAUAUAUAAGGAAUAUAAUCAGCU